UUUUCAGGCCUCGCCCUACUUACACUACAACUUCACGAGGCUUUGGAACCCUUAAGGCUAAUCCAAGGCCUUGAAGAUCGCCAAGUAAGAAUGCAGGAUCACCAUGAUGAAGUAUGAUAAUGUAAUGGAGAUAUACUAUACACCAACGAAAAAAUAGGAGAACGAAGAGAGAGAGAGAGAACGAGAGAAGAAGUAGAAAGAAAAAAAACGCAGUUCCCGAGUGGCCCUUCAACAACGGCGACCUUUCGAAGAACGGAAAUAACAGCAAUGGAACAGCAAAAGCAUCAGCAGCUGUUAUCAGCAGUCAGCAGCGUCAGCCAAUGCUUUCAGCAUCGUCAUUGAAGAUCAGCCAAUGUCGUCAGCACUAGCAAUCGAUAGGUAUAUGCAGUGUCAGCAAUCAGCAGAAUGGGCGUCAGCAGUCAGCCAAUGCCAUCAGCAUCGCCAAGAAGAUCAGACAAUACUGUCUGCAAUCAACAGCGUCAGUCUCUGUUAACAGCUCCAACGAUACAGCAACGUCAGUAAUAAGCACAUGCGGUGUCAGCAAUUAAAAGCACCAACAUUCGGCUGGCAGCACCGCCGUCAGCGAUCUGCAGGAUGGACGUCAGCAAUCAGCAGCAUCAGCACAGCAAUCAUUUCUCCAAGUCUUGAUGGAAUGGCGAUGCAAUUAACAGCUCACGAACACGCUUUCAUAGA